rfam:Trichobilharzia regenti genome assembly, scaffold: TRE_scaffold0003490
AUACUGGCUGAUUCUGCCAAUAGACAACGCUUCUCCCAGAGAUUAAGUCAGGCAUAUCUAAGUACAUAACUUGGAAAGCUGAAAGUGAGAAUGGCUUAUUAAAUCAGCUGUGAUAUCUUUGAUCAAAUGGACAGUUGUAGUAAUUCUACACUUAAUAAAUGAAUUUGUACACAAAUAUAUGUGGGAACACAUUCACUUAUUUGAACAGAACAAACCCUAGGGAGUUUCGGCUGUCUCUGCUACGCCCUGUGAUAAAUCUAGAUAACUUUGCAGCCGGCGAUCGGUUUUGUAUCGGUGACGGAUCUCCCUGUCCUAUCAAUUUAUUCUCUACCAUGAUAACAACUGCUAACGAGAAAUCAAGGUCCGAUUCCGGAGAAGGAGCCGGAGAAAAGGCUACCACAUCCAACGACAUCAGUAGACACGAAAAUUACUCACUCCCGAUAUGAGUAGCCAGUGAAGAAAGAUAUGAAUACGGAACUCAUUUGAGGGUCCAUCGUCUGAAUGAGUGAAAUUUAAAUCCUUUGACGUGGACCAAUGGGAGGCAAACUUUGGCGACUCUAGCUCCAAAAGUGGAUGCUGAAGUUAUUUCAGUUCAAAAGCUCGUGGCUGUAUUUGGAUUGUGUGAUCAGAUGCUAUCUCUUGUUUAUGGUUUUGGCUACCCCCGGGAUUUGUGUUCGGCUGCAUGUAGUGGCUAUGCAACCUAUAAGUCUUUAGGUUCCGAAGGAAGUAGGGUUACAAAGCUGAAACUUAAAGGACAGAGUGAAAGGUCUUCC